rnacentral:rRNA from 1 species
GACGAACGCUGGCGGCGUGCUUAAUACAUGCAAGUCGAACGGAAAGGCCCUGCUUUUGUGGGGUGCUCGAGUGGCGAACGGGUGAGUAACACGUGAGUAACCUGCCCUUGACUUUGGGAUAACUUCAGGAAACUGGGGCUAAUACCGGAUAGGAGCUCCUGCUGCAUGGUGGGGGUUGGAAAGUUUCGGCGGUUGGGGAUGGACUCGCGGCUUAUCAGCUUGUUGGUGGGGUAGUGGCUUACCAAGGCUUUGACGGGUAGCCAGCCUGAGAGGGUGACCGGCCACAUUGGGACUGAGAGACGGCCCAGACUCCUACGGGAGGCAGCAGUGGGGAAUAUUGCACAAUGGGCGGAAGCCUGAUGCAGCAACGCCGCGUGCGGGAUGACGGCCUUCGGGUUGUAAACCGCUUUCGCCUGUGACGAAGCGUGAGUGACGGUAAUGGGUAAAGAAGCACCGGCUAACUACGG